rnacentral:lncRNA from 1 species
ACAUUUCACUAUCUGAAGAGCAGAAAAUGUGUUAAUAGGAGCCUGGUGAGUGGAGGAGACUGAAGAUGGAGAGAGAGCCUGGACCUCAACAUGAGCAUUUGGAGCCAUUUGGCAGCAUUAGGCUGUGACCGCUUAGAGAAACAAAAGAAACACCACCUGGAACACAGCUGUGACUUGAUGAACAAGUGAAAUAUUCUUUGGUGUGGUGAGGGGAAAACAAAUUUCUCAAAGGACACGCACCAUGGUGUAUGAGAGGACACUGGAGCCCAGCCAGCAUCUGACAUGCUGAAUUCAAAGUGCAGGUGAAAGUAGGACAACUGAUUCACAAGCUGGGAUGCCUGUGUUGUUGUUUGCCAGUGUGGGUGUGUGUGUUUUCCUGGCACCCUUCAUUCAUUCCCCAGCACAGUUGACAUCAGGUUGGAAGCAAUGAGUUCUGAGGGAGACUGCUAGAGGACCCAACUUGGAGAACCAACAAUCUGCGAUGAAGAUAAUGAAGAUAAAGACAAUGUCAAUGUCAGCAUCCAAAAUCAUAAGGAUCCUUU